rnacentral:tRNA from 1 species
GCACCCAUAGCUCAGCUGGAUAGAGCGCUGCCCUCCUAAGGCAAUAGUCUAUUCGUACAAGUGGCUGUA